rnacentral:rRNA from 1 species
GACGAACGCUGGCGGCGUGCUUAACACAUGCAAGUCGAACGGUGAAGCGCCUUCCUUUUUGGUGGGUGUGGAUGAGUGGCGAACGGGUGAGUAACACGUGAGUAACCUGCCCCCUUCUUCUGGAUAACCGCAUGAAAGUGUGGCUAAUACGGGAUAUUCUGGGUCUGUCGCAUGAUGGGUCUGGGAAAGAUAUUGUUUCGGUGGGGGAUGGGCUCGCGGCCUAUCAGCUUGUUGGUGGGGUGAUGGCCUACCAAGGCGGUGACGGGUAGCCGGCCUGAGAGGGUGGACGGCCACACUGGGACGGAGACACGGCCAAGACUCCUACGGGAGGCAGCAGUGGGGAAUAUUGCACAAUGGGCGCAAGCCUGAUGCAGCGACGCCGCGUGAGGGAUGGAGGCCUUCGGGUUGUGGACCUCUUUCGCCAGUGAAGCAGGCCUGCCUCGUUUGUGGGUGGGUUGACGGUAGCUGGAUAAGAAGCGCCGGCUAACUACGUG